UCCACAUGACCGCAAGCCCCCGCCCCCCUCCUUCGGUUGGCUCCCUCCCUCUUCCUCUCUCUCCGUCCUUCUCCCGUCUCUCACAGAGAUCAUAGAUGAAUCGAAGAGAAUGGUUGAUUUAUUGGUGAAACUGUGAGGACAUCUGUUUCUUCCGACGGAUCGACGAUGAAGUGCGACUCCGUGCAGUGCUUGUGGUCUCCUUCUCCGCCCAGCCACAACAUCACGGCGACGGCUGUUUUGGAACGGAGCCGGUCUAUAUAUACCGGCGGAUCGGAUGGCUCCAUCAUCUGGUGGAGGGUCUACUCCUCUCCUGCGAGUCCAGUUCCUAGGAUGGAUGUGAAACCCAUGACAAUGCUAUGUGGUCACUCUGCAAGGAUAGCUGAUCUGGAUAUCUGUAUUCCUAUUGCAGACAAUGCAAAGACUGAUGGUGCAUGUAAGAGAAAAACUAUGUCAGCUGGUUCUGAAGCAUUGAUCAGUGUUUGUGUUGAUGGAGUUUUAUGCAUUUGGAGUGGUGAGAGUGGACAUUGCCGACGUAGAAGAAAAUUACCCUCAUGGACUGGAAGUCCGUUUGCCAUGUCAUCCUUGUACAAAUCCAGACGGUAUGUUUGCAUUGGUUGCAUGUCUGCUGAGACAAUGCAUUUAUCAAGCUAUCAUUCAGUUGAGACUGAUGAGGGAGGCAUUGGACGUAGUACCAGUGAAGGGUUCACAGUGGAACGAGAAGUGAAUUGUAGUCCUAUUUUAAAGGGCACUGUUGUGAUUAUUGAUGCAUGUACUCUUAAUAUUAUACAUACUGUAAUUCAUGGAUUUUUAUCUAUUGGCCCUGUGCAAGCAAUGGUUGUGGCACCAUCGGAAGAGAAAGAAAAACAGCUGGUAAUUAUGGCGGAUGGGCUUGGAAGAUUCCAAUCACUUUCAGUACCAUUGGAUCAUUGGACAGAUCCAGAAGAUGGAAUAAGUGUUGACAAUACUUCUUCCUCUGGCAUGGAGCAGCAUGCAUUCCCAAAAAUUGAUAAUGGGAUAAAUGGAGUAUCUAUUGCACCCCAUGGAAAGGUUAUUGCUUUAAUUUUUAGUAGACAGUGCAUGUUUAGGUCAACAACCAGUGGGCUCAAUAUUGGCGAAAUAUACUUGGGGUGCAGUUCCCUUUGUGAUGAAGAUUCUUCUAGUUUAGCAUAUCUCACUGGAGGGAUGUUCUUCUCAGAUGAUAAGCCUGACUUUGAUAUAACAGUAGAUGGGAAAUUAGAUGAAGGUUUUGCAGACAAGUUUGUGGUCUGGAACAAUCGAGGUGCGGCAAUGAUGUAUCACAUAUCAUAUUCCUUUCGAGCCUUCAAUUUUGAGUGUUUAUGUGAAGUACCUGCGGCUUCUUAUCCAGCUGAACUAAGAUUCCAUGCUAGCUUCUGCCAACUGAAUCAAUAUACAGUUCGUACUGCAUCAAUAUGCUUUGAUUUUGAGCAAUCUUUGUUAUGGACAUCUCAAAUAAGUAUAUGGUCUCCAUGUCGACUGUCUGUAGAUGAAACCUCCAUUGCCUCUCAUGCUAGCACUUUGGUCGGGGAAGGUGGUUUAUGGGAGGAUUGGUAUCAUAGCUCAGAUGCAUAUGAAAAAUAUUUUGUUCGACACAGUGAAGAUAGUGGUGGAAUGCCAGAAGUAAUGACCAUCAAUGAUAAUGAGAUAAAGAUUGAACAGCUAAGUGAUUAUACAAGAGUUAUUCACAUGAAGAAAGGAGAGAUGGUUACAUCUUCAAUGGUACUCUCAGAUGUCCCAAUUGCACCAUAUGCUGUAGUUGAUGGAUUUUAUAAUGGGCAGAUCAAAGUAACACUUUUUGACAACUACCUUAAGGAACUAAGAUGUUCCAGUAGGUUUAUAAAGUAUGGAACCAACACGGAUGUACCUCAAGCUCAAAGUACUCUUUUAGGCCAUACAGGUGCUAUACUUUGUCUGGCAUUUCAUCGUAUGUCAACACCCACAGAACAAAAUUUUGAGCAAGUGUUGAUAUCAGGUAGCAUGGAUUGUACAGUACGUUUAUGGAAUUUGGAUACCGGCACUCCAAUCUCAGUGUUUCACCAUCAUAUAGGUCCUGUAAGGCAAAUUAUUCUUCCUCCAUCUCGGACUUAUCGCCCUUGGAGUGAUUGCUUUAUGUCUGUUGGAGAUGAUGGAUGUGUUGCACUCAUCUCCCUUGAUACACUAUGUGUGGAGAGAAUGUUUCCUGGACAUCCUGACUGUCCAAAGAUGGUUGCAUGGGAUAGUGCUAGGGGCUACAUUGCGAGCCUAAUCAUGAAGAAUUCACUGCAAUCUAAGCGACAGGAAUUUUUGUACAUCUGGGACGUUAAGACUGGUGCUAGAGAACGGAUUAUCAGGGGCCCUGCUUCACAUGCAAUGCUUGAUAAUUUCAGUAGGGGGGUUGGCGUAGGUUCCAAUUGUAGGGAUCAUUUUGAUAGUAUGACCUCAGCAUCUUCAUUGUUUCUCAAUAUGAUUGAUGAUAGAACUUUUUCUGUUAAUCAUAGGGACAGUGCUGCACCAGAAGAAAGUAGAGAACCUAUCCUGUCGGAGUCCAAUGGUUCUCUAGUACAUGAUUUUAGAGAAAAGUUGACCUUGUCAAAAAUGCUAAGCACACUCAGCCAAGUCCCACUUGGAAAUAAAUGUACUCCUUCUGUUAAACACCCAUUAAUUCAACCAGUUCUUUGGGAAAAUGAGAAACUAGUUAAGUCCUCAUGUCCAUGUCCUGGUGUUGCUGCUUUGGUAUUUGAUCUUCAUAAUCUUAUGUCUCCUAGGCAAGGAAGUGGUAUUAUUAAAGAAAGUGACGACAAGCUGCCACUGAAUGCUUGCAAAAUUGAAGCAGAAAGCCAAAGCCAAGAUGUUUAUGCAGAAACUUCAUCUGAAGUGAAAAACAGUUUGCCUCACAUAUUAGACAGAUAUGUCGGCACAGGGACUAUGGAAAGAUUCUUGCUUCGGUUCAGCAUAGCCUUUCUUCAUUUGUGGGGUAUAGAUGCACUGCUUGAUCAGUCGCUGGUAGAUGAAAUGGACAUUUACAGGCCAGAACAGUUUCUGGUAGCCCCUGGACUUUGUGGGGAUAAGGGUUCACUGACUCUAGUCUUUCCUGGUCGACGGACAACUCUAGAGUUUUGGAAGGCUUCCUCAGAGUUUGUUGCAAUGAGAUCUCUGAUAAUGGUCUCCCUUGCUCAGCGUAUGUUGAGCUUAUCUCAUCCAACUUCAGAUGCUAGCAGUGCUUUGGCAGCAUUUUACACUCGUAAUUUUGCAGAGAGAGUUCCAGAUAUAAAGCCACCUUUGCUUCAGCUCUUGGCAAGUUUUUGGCAAGACCAAUCUGAGCAUGUACGCAUGGCUGCCCGUUCUUUGUUUCAUUGUGCUGCCUCACGGGCAAUUCCAGUUCCACUUUGUGGUCAGAAAGCUUCUCUGAAUUUGAGCGAUAUCAACUUUGUGCUUGACGAAGGUGAAGAAUCAGGUACUAGUGUAGAUGAAGCAACUUCAACUGUUGGCUUGAAUAUGGAUGGAAGCUUGGCAACACAAUAUGAUCAAACAGAGGAUCCUUCAGUGCUUGCAUGGCUUGAAUCCUAUGAACUCCAUGGUUGGGUUUCUAUAAUUGGUGGUACAAACCAAGAUGCAAGGGCGUCACACAUUAUAGUUGCUGCAGCACUAGCUGUCUGGUAUCCUAGUCUAGUGAAAUCAAGUCUUGCUGCAUCAGUUGUUCAUCAACUUGUGAAACUAGUGAUGGUUGUAAGUGAAAAAUAUAGUGCAACUGCAGCAGAGCUCCUAGCAGAGGGAAUGGAUACUACAUGGAAACCAUGCAUUGGUUCUGAACUAUCUCGUUUGAUUGGGGACUUAUUUUUUCUGAUUGAGUGCUUAAGUGGGACAGCUACUGCAACUGUGCAAAAUCCAGUUGUAGCUGUAAAUAUUCGUGAUACCUUAAUUGGUAUCCUUCUUCCAAGCUUAGCGAUGGCUGACAUCGUGAGUUUUCUUAGUGCAAUUGAAGGCCAGACUUGGGCCACUUCCUCCGAUUCACCUGUCCAUGUCGUCUCACUUAUGACUCUGAUAAGAGUAGUUCGUGGUGCUCCAAAGCUCAUGUCCCCACUGCUUGAUAAGGUUGUGAAUUUUAUUCUGCUUACGAUGGACCUUGGGAACUCUGUCAUGCGGCAAUCUUGCCUUCAUAGCUCUAUGGCAGCUCUUAAAGAAGUGGCACGUGUUUUUCCAAUGGUUGCUCUGAAUCAAGGAGCAACAAGGCUUGCAGUUGGAGAUUUAAUUGGAGAUGUCCGUAAACUCACCAUCGAAAUAUAUGACUUGCAAAACGUUACAAAAAUAAAGGUUCUGGAUGCAAGUGGACCACCAGGACUUCCAAGUUUACUUGGCAGUGAUUCAGACAAAACAAUCACAGCAGGGAUCUCUGUGCUGAGUUUUUCACCUGAUGGUGAGGGAUUGGUUGCUUUCUCUGAGCAUGGACUGAUGAUUAGGUGGUGGUCCUUGGGAGCUGCAUGGUGGGAGAAGCUAACUAGAAAUACUGUUCCUGUACAAUGUACAAAGCUCAUUCUGAUUCCUCCAUGGGAGGCAUUUUCUCCUAAUUCUUCUCGGUCAAGCAUAAUGGCUAGCAUUCAUGGACUCUAUAGCCCACGUCAUCUACAGGACAAAACAAGGGGAGCUGCCGAUGUUGACUGUUUAAAGGCUCUGGCUCAAAGUAUUGAUCUUUCUUAUCGGCUGGAGUGGGAGGGUGAUAGAAAAGUCGUACUCUUCCGGCAUGGUCAAUCAUUAGGCUCUUUCCAGCUCUGACAUGUUUCAUGAAUAAAUCAUUGAAAGGUCAAAAUUUUUGUUUCACCCUCUGCUUCCAUGUUAUGUAAAGUCCUCUCUUUUCCAUGCGAUGUAAAGUUUAAUGUGCAUCUGGAUUUUCUUUGGAUACCAAUACCAUUGUAUUGUCCCUCUUACUAUAAUGAAAAUUCCAGCUUUGAAAGUCCUGAGGAGAAAACAAGGGGAGCUGCUGAUGUUUACUGUUCAAAGGCUCUGGCUCAAUGAAUUGAUGUUUUUUACUGGCUGGAGUGGGAAGGUGAUAGAAAAGUCAUGCUCUUCCGGCAUGGUCAAUCAUUAAGCUCUUUCCAGCUCUGACAUGUUUCACAAAUAAAUCAUUAAAAGGUCAAAAUUUUUGUUGCACCCUCUGCUUCCAUGCUAUGUAAAGUCCUCUCUUUUCCAUGCUAUGUAAAGUUUAAUGUGCAUCUGCAUUUUCUUUGGAUACCAAUACCACUGUAUUGUCCCUCUUACUAUAAUAAAAAUUCCAGCUUUGAAA